rnacentral:sRNA from 1 species
UUUUAGUGAAAUUUUUAGUGGAAUUGCCUUUGUUCGAGUGAUUGACCAAAUGUUUAUUAAUACUUCUACAUCUAAGUCUACGAUUCGAGUUCCAAAAAAAACGCAGUCUCUUGCAGAUGAAUGAUGCAAAUCUUAUUGGAGAUCCAUAGUGCAGUAUGCAUAGUCGUUCGUAGUGGUCUGAAUGUUGUAGGGAGAGCUUAUCCAUCGUAAAAAUAUCGUAUAUGCAGAAUCGUCCGCUGAAGAUCAGAAUGUUGUGAGGAGAGAGCUGCAUCUUGGAAUCGUUGUUCGUGGAAACUGUUCAUCAUAAAUAAAAUAUAAAAUUAACAGUUUCAACUUUCAAAAGGUUUUCUAUGUACAU